AGUGGUAUGAGGCACCACUGAUUUAGUUUGGUUGACUGCACCCCGGUCCCUCUGACUUAUUAGCCAAUCACUGCGCUUACCGAGUGGAGAAAAGUAGGCUGUGUCCCUCCUCCUGAUCUCUCGCUUCCGGGUCGUUGUAUGUGCCGCUAGCAUCCGAGCACAGGUAAGCACAUAUGGCCGUGCUGUGUUGUGUAUAUUCGUCCGUAUUUCAUUCAAUUAAAACCGUCGUUCCCUAAUAGAUCCGGCGUCUUCACCGCGGUCGAGCCGAUCAGUCGGGGCGGUGUUUAUUGCCGCAACCAGAGCAUUGUGCUGAAGGCCGACGGUGGUGGUGGUGGUUCUCCUGGGUGGUGGUGGUCCUGUGUGCUGUGUGAUCCCUUUUUAAGAUUUUCUUUGUUUACACGUCACCUUUUGCUGUGUGUGUGUGGGGUGUCCUCCUUUUCCUUUUGGAUGUCACUUCCCCUACCAAACCCCUCCUCCAGCCGGUAAGCCUCAGACUACAUCCCCCUUUUAGUUGGGCUCUUUUCUUUUUUUUUGUUACAGUGUCAACCUCAUGAUUGUUUUAAUAAUAAAUUGUUAGACAUGA